rnacentral:rRNA from 1 species
AUACGGAGGGGGUUAGCGUUGUUCGGAAUUACUGGGCGUAAAGCGUACGUAGGCGGAUCGGAAAGUAAGGGGUGAAAUCCCAGGGCUCAACCCUGGAACUGCCUCUUAAACUCCCGGUCUUGAGUUCGUGAGAGGUGAGUGGAAUUCCUAGUGUAGAGGUGAAAUUCGUAGAUAUUAGGAGGAACACCAGUGGCGAAGGCGGCUCACUGGCUCGAUACUGACGCUGAGGUACGAAAGUGUGGGGAGCAAACAGGAGUAGAAACCCGGGUAGUCC